CAAUGGCUCAANCAUUGUUCGCCCUAUGAACUGGAAGGCUNGAGUGCAGGAGAGGAAAGCGGAAUUCNUAGUGUAGCGGUGGAAUGCAUAGAUAUUAGGAGGAACAUCAGCGGCGAAGGCGGCUUUCUGGACUGCAACUGACACUGAGGUACGAAAGCGUGGGGAGCAAACAGGAUUAGAUACCCUGGUAGUNCACGCCGUAAACGAUGAGCACUAGGUGUCGGGGUCGUAAGGCUUCGGUGCCGUAGUUAACGCAUUAAGUGCUCCGCCUGGGGAGUACGCACGCAAGUGCGAAACUCAAAGGAAUUGACGGGGACCCGCACAAGCAGCGGAGCAUGUGGUUUAAUUCGAAGCAACGCGAAGAACCUUACCAGGACUUGACAUCCUUCUGACCGGUCUUUAAUAGGACCUUUCUUUUGACAGAAGAGACAGGUGGUGCAUGGUUGUCGUCAGCUCGUGUCGUGAGAUGUUGGGUUAAGUCCCGCAACGAGCGCAACCCUUGUCACUAGUUGCCAUCAUUAAGUUGGGCACUCUAGUGAGACUGCCGGGGACAACUCGGAGGAAGGUGGGGAUGACGUCAAAUCAUCAUGCCCCUUAUGUUCUGGGCUACACACGUGCUACAAUGGCUGGUACAAAGAGAAGCAAGACCGCAAGGUGGAGCAAAGCUCAAAAACCAGCCCCAGUUCGGAUUGUAGGCUGAAGCUCGCCUACAUGAAGUCGGAGUUGCUAGUAAUCGCAGAUCAGAAUGCUGCGGUGAAUGCGUUCCCGGGUCUUGUACACACCGCCCGUCACACCAUGGAAGUUGGGGGCGCCCAAAGUUGGCAGAUAAAUAU
rnacentral:rRNA from 1 species